rnacentral:rRNA from 1 species
UACGGAGGGGGCUAGCGUUGUUCGGAAUUACUGGGCGUAAAGCGCACGUAGGCGGCUUUGCAAGUUAGAGGUGAAAGCCCGGGGCUCAACUCCGGAAUUGCCUUUAAAACUGCAUCGCUAGAAUUGUGGAGAGGUAAGUGGAAUUGCGAGUGUAGAGGUGAAAUUCGUAGAUAUUCGCAGGAACACCAGUGGCGAAGGCGGCUCACUGGUCCGAUACUGACGCUGAGGUGCGAAAGCGUGGGGAGCAAACAGG